UACAGAGGUCUCAAGCGUUGUUCGGAUUCAUUGGGCGUAAAGGGUGUGUAGGUGGCGCGCUAAGUCGGGUGUGAAAUUUCGGAGCUUAACUCCGAAACUGCAUUCGAUACUGGCGUGCUUGAGGACUGGAGAGGAGACUGGAAUUCAUGGUGUAGCAGUGAAAUGCGUAGAGAUCAUGAGGAAGACCAGUGGCGAAAGCGAGCUGCUGGACCUUUUCUGACGCUGAGGCGCGAAAGCCAGGGGAGCAAACGGG
rnacentral:rRNA from 1 species